rnacentral:rRNA from 1 species
GUCCACCGAUUGACUAAGGUUUCCAGAGGAAGGCUCGUCCGCUCUGGGUUAGUCGGGUCCUAAGCUGAGGCCGACAGGCGUAGGCGAUGGAUAACAGGUUGAUAUUCCUGUACCACCUAUAAUCGUUUUAAUCGAUGGGGGGACGCAGUAGGAUAGGCGAAGCGUGCGAUUGGAUUGCACGUCUAAGAAGUAAGGCUGAGUAUUAGGCAAAUCCGGUACUCGUUAAGGCUGAGCUGUGAUGGGGAGAAGACAUUGAGUCUUCGAGUCGUUGAUUUCACACUGCCGAGAAAAACCUCUAGAUAGAAAAUAGGUGCCCGUACCGCAAACCGACACAGGUAGUCAAGAUGAGAAUUCUAAGGUGAGCGAGCGAACUCUCGUUAAGGAACUCGGCAAAAUGACCCCGUAACUUCGGGAGAAGGGGUGCUCUUUAGGGUUGACGCCCAGAAGAGCCGCAGUGAAUAGGCCCAAGCGACUGUUUAUCAAAAACACAGGUCUCUGCUAAACCGUAAGGUGAUGUAUAGGGGCUGACGCCUGCCCGGUGCUGGAAGGUUAAGAGGAGUGGUUAGCUUCUGCGAAGCUACGAAUCGAAGCCCCAGUAAACGGCGGCCGUAACUAUAACGGUCCUAAGGUAGCGAAAUUCCUUGUCGGGUAAGUUCCGACCCGCACGAAAGGCGUAACGAUUUGGGCACUGUCUCAACGAGAGACUCGGUGAAAUCAUAGUACCUGUGAAGAUGCAGGUUACCCGCGACAGGACGGAAAGACCCCGUGGAGCUUUACUGUAGCCUGAUAUUGAAAUUCGGCACAGCUUGUACAGGAUAGGUAGGAGCCUUUGAAACGUGAGCGCUAGCUUACGUGGAGGCGCUGGUGGGAUACUACCCUAGCUGUGUUGGCUUUCUAACCCGCACCACUUAUCGUGGUGGGAGACAGUGUCAGGCGGGCAGUUUGACUGGGGCGGUCGCCUCCUAAAAGGUAACGGAGGCGCUCAAAGGUUCCCUCAGAAUGGUUGGAAAUCAUUCAUAGAGUGUAAAGGCAUAAGGGAGCUUGACUGCGAGACCUACAAGUCGAGCAGGGUCGAAAGACGGACUUAGUGAUCCGGUGGUUCCGCAUGGAAGGGCCAUCGCUCAACGGAUAAAAGCUACCCCGGGGAUAACAGGCUUAUCUCCCCCAAGAGUUCACAUCGACGGGGAGGUUUGGCACCUCGAUGUCGGCUCAUCGCAUCCUGGGGCUGUAGUCGGUCCCAAGGGUUGGGCUGUUCGCCCAUUAAAGCGGUACGCGAGCUGGGUUCAGAACGUCGUGAGACAGUUCGGUCCCUAUCCGUCGUGGGCGUAGGAAAUUUGAGAGGAGCUGUCCUUAGUACGAGAGGACCGGGAUGGACAUACCUCUGGUGUACCAGUUGUCGUGCCAACGGCAUAGCUGGGUAGCUAUGUGUGGACGGGAUAAGUGCUGAAAGCAUCUAAGCAUGAAGCCCCCCUCAAGAUGAGAUUUCCCAACUUCGGUUAUAAGAUCCCUCAAAGAUGAUGAGGUUAAUAGGUUCGAGGUGGAAGCAUGGUGACAU